GAUGAAGAACGUAGCAAAUGCGAUAAGUAGUGUGAAUUGCAGAAUUCAGUGAAUCAUCGAAUCUUUGAACGCACAUUGCGCCCCUUGGUAUCCCGAGGGGCAUGCCUGUUCGAGCGUCAUUUCACCACUCAAGCCUGGCUUGGUGUUGGGCGACGUCCCCUUUGGGGACGCGCCUCGAAACGCUCGGCGGCGUGGCACCGGCUUUAAGCGUAGCAGAAUCUUUCGCUUUGGAAGUCGGGGCCCCGUCUGCCGGAAGACCUACUCGCAAGGUUGACCUCGGAUCAGGCAGGGAUACCCGCUGAACUUAAGCAUAUCAAUAAGCGGAGGA
rnacentral:misc_RNA from 1 species